AAUGGAGGCAAAAAAGGUAAAAGGGGCAGUUGGGUGUUUCUUGUAAAGAUCACUCCCCGUUGCUUUUCCCAUCCUUCGCUCCUCCAUCCGCGGCCGUUACCCCAGCCCUCGAGCACCAGAAAUAGAAACUCGGAGGCUGGCGUCGAGGCUAGACAUGGAUUCCGCGCCUGGCCCCGUCCAGACCCCAGUUUUCUAAAGUGACUUCGCACCAAAGUCCGGUAUAAUUGCGGAGUGGGGAACGUGCUGCUAAGUUUGGGGGGAGGGUGUUGCGGGGGCUCGCUUCAUCCUCUCCAGUUAUCAGCCCCUCAUUCUCUGCGUCACCUAAAGUGUUAAAAAAAAAAAAAAAAAAAGGCUCUUGGGUCCCACCGUAAGAGCGCAUAAAGAGAGGAGGUACAAUGACCGUCCUUUGCCAUUGUAGGGCUCCCUAAUUUAUGCGUUUUUAGACCCUUAAGCAUCAUUUUCUGGGCAACCAAACGGGCACUUCCAAAUUAGCUCAAAGUAUCCAAGCCCAGAGAAGAGAGAAAACACACAUACACUGAUAAAUACGCAGAUGCUACCUUUAAAUAUCUCUGACUUAAGUUUAUUCUCCCGUCACUACCAUGAUCAAAAAGAAGAGGAAGACAAAAUAUCAAAACUUCCAAAUAUUUCUAGUUGUUCGCAAUGGGUCUUUUUGUUGUUGUUGGAAAAAUAUAACCUGUUCAAGCGAUAUGAAAAUGGAUGCAGAAAUCAGUUUUACCCGAAUACUUAGACAUUAUGAACUCUCUACUAAAUACUGAACAAGACAAAGCAUAAGACAAAAGAAGUGUGCAAAGCAUAUUGAUUAAAUUUUGAAAACAAUCUUGCAGCAAUAAUAAUGAUAACGAGAAAACGAAGAUAACACUUCUAAGUUUUCCUGGAAACUGGAGCAGGAGAAAGAAAAACAAGGAGAGUGCUUUCUUAAGCAAUAUUUUAUAUUUUUUUCCAGAAAAGGGUGUGUGGAAACGAUUUAAGUUUAACCUGACAGUACAUGUCUUGAAGGCAAGAACAGUAUUACAUAUUCCUUUUUCUGUUUGCUUUUAGCCCUUUGGUGGAAAUGUUCUCCAUGGUUUUGUUCUUAUGAUUUUAAUAAUUGUUUUAUUCAUCUUAGUAUAGUUUUGCAAAGAAGCUGCCCUUUUUAGGGGGGAAAAAGCCAUAGGUCACCUAUGGGAAGGAAGUGACAAACGAAUGUUAAGAGUAAUGUUUUAAUAUACUGUAAAAGUAAAAUGCAAGGUUACAGGAAUUGUUUACAGACAUCAGUAUUGACUUAGCAAGAUGAAUAUUGCUACAGUUUUAACACGAUGCUACUUUUACAGGUCUUUUAUGAACUUGAAACACAUCGGCUAGGUCUUCAUCCUCACCUGCACUGGAAUUACCUACUUAAAAAAAACAAACUAAUGAUACACAAAGAAGCAUUUAUGUAUGUAUUUAAACACUUGCUGGGAUCCUUCUGAAAACUACAGUUUGGAUUUUACGUUUCUGGUUUAGUUUAAAUUGUAUUGUUUACUUGUAUGUAUUAGCUUAAGUAAAAUAAUAGAAAGUCAUUUCAAACGUUUCUCAGAGACAACAGGGUAAGUAAAAAAUAAUUGUGUUAUGACAUCUGUGAAUAUAAAAGUUAUUUGUGGCCCAUUAUAUUUUAUUUUUCAAGUUCAAACGUAUUUCAAAAAUGAAACCGAUUAUCAUAAUCUCCAUAUUCAUUAGUUGUCCAAAUUGAAAGGUGUUUACAAUUUUAAUUUUUUCCAAAUGAUUAUUCUGUUUUCAGGCUAUACAUUUCAUCUCAUAUAAUUUUCUUUGUAGAACUUUGACAUAGCAGUUAAAAUCAAGUGGUUGUACUACAAUUUUUGCUUAUUUUGUUUUUCAACUGCAUUGGGUCCUGUUAUAAGUGCAUAUACAUCUGGAAUGCUUCCAUCUUUAAAUUAAAAGCACUUUAUCACAUCUGAAGGUUCUCUGCAGAGAGUCACUUUCUGACUGCUUAGGAACUUGAUAAGCCAAAUAGUAUUGCAUCACUAUAGGUAAACAGUUCUGGGAAAGAAAAAUCUACAAUCUUUGACAUUUCUUCCUGUCAAUUGUUUGUACCUCAUUCUAGAAAUUACAUAUCUUCAUGCCGGAAACACUAUUUGGAUGUGUGUGGAUGAUUCUGAAAAUUGAUAUAGUCUGAAGGAUGUAUAUGUACAUUUAUAUACAGACACAAUAUAACCCAAUUGAUAUUCCACUGAAGCUUUGUAUUCAUCUCAUCAGAUUAUCGUGUACCUAAAUUAUGUGUGGAAAUUUAUACUUAGUAGAUUCUCAAAUAUUAUUGACUAAACUGCAUUUCACAGGAAAUGUAUUUCUCAGGAGUGUUUUCUCAUUGUUUUCCUUAAAAAACAAUGCUGGCACCCAGCAAAAUAAUAAAAUUAAAAAAUAAAAUAAAAUGCAAAUACUACCUAAGGGAAUACAGUGAAAAGAAUUGGUUCUCACUUUCCAAUCCUUCAAGCCUCCUAGUUCUUCGCCUCAGAGGAGUUUGGUGUUACCUGUUUCUUUUGGAAUGGCCUGUCCAUCUAGAAGCAUACUACCAUUUUACAUACAAAAGAUUGCAUGCUCUAUGUGAUUUGGUACUUUGCCUUUUUCAUGGUUUAGGUUUUUAUAGUUUCACACAUUACAACAUUGAAAGCAGACUAAGAUAGGCUGUGGCAGAUACAGAAAUUUUUUCUAAACAAAAAGACAAGAUUUUUCUAGACAAAACACUCCUGGCUUUCUGGCAAAAAUGUGGUAUUUGUUGAAAAUCUCUGAUGUGUUAGAUAGCCUUAGUGCCAAAAAUAUUUAGCAAAAAAAUUCUAAAGAAAGAGCCUUCUGCAGUUUGGAUUUGCUGUUGGCAGGCAGAAGCUCAGCGAAAGGGACCUGAGAGGAGUUGAGAAACUUCUGACAUACCCACUUUGAAGUGGGGGUCCAGCCAGUACUUAGAGGGAAAUAUUGUUUCUCUAGGUGGUGAAUAGGUUUCCAGUGGGUCUUGUAUUUCCUCAUCAAGACUAACUGUUUGAAAAUAUAACUUUCUGCUUGACACCCAAAAAUGUAAGUGCCUUUUAGAACUGAGACACUUGCUACAUUUGCAAUUAGUUUAAACUAGUUGUGAAAUAAUUUGAUUAAUGAAAGUUUUAUAUUGUGGAAGUAGCCUUAAAAUAUUGUCUUUGCGGUUGGGAAGGAAUAAAGAAACAUCUUAAGGAUACUAGUAUUUUGCAGCAAAAUUUGAGGUUAUAAAGAGGAAAAUAAAACUGCCAUAGAGAUGAAACACAAAGUUUAUUUGAAUUAUUUUACUUUUUUUUUGAUGAAUUCAUCAGUUUCUGAGAUCUGGUUCUCAUUUCUUUUUAGUCCCUUUAUAAGCCUUUUUCCAAUAGUGUUCAUUUCAAUUAUUUUAAAUGUCUUACAAUAAGUUUACACUUGCAUUUAUAAGGCUUUGUUAUUUCUAUGUGACACAGUAAUCCUUUCAUAUUUUCUUCACAAAAUACGAACUGGCAGUUUACUCAAAAAAAUCUUGUGAUCCUUUUCCUGAGAUUCAGAUAUUUUAGACUGAAAAUUGUUUUCUGACCAAUGAUAAUUGGUAUCAAUAAACAUAUUUUAAGCUAACGCAAUUAUUAGUACAGUGUGAGAAUGAAUAGUAGGUGAUGAAGACAUUUUGUUGUCAAAAUUAUUAUAAUAUGGUCCAAUGAAAUGAUUCCUCCUCCCAUCCCCCUAAGGAAAAAAACAAACAAGAAACCUCCCCUUCUAGGGUCAAGCUGUAACACUAGUUUUUACAGUCAGAGUAGAGAAUAACAUUGGGCUAUGACAGGGGAGUAAAAAUAGGGAAAUUAUCCAGUAUGUCCCAAUUCUCUCACCCUAGGAUUAGGAGCUUGAGCCACAAAUUCAGAUUUUUCUAUGUUAAAAAUUAUUUUUUAGAGUAAUAACAUGUAUGGGAAAAACUGGCAAUAUUGAAAUAUAAUUUUUUAUUUCUGAAUUACAAGUUUAUUGUAUAUUUUGUGUAUAUAGAAGGUUUAAAAUAUUUUAGAACAUAGUGGUAUUUCCAUUGAACAACAUUUUUUAGGUGUUUUGGAAUGUCAUUAAAUGGCUGUUUUAUAGGAAAAAGAAUCCUCUGAAUUUUAAGCAAAACUAUAUUUCUGUUGGUUAUUUUGUGAGAGGAGUUAGUUUUUCUAAGUGUUCUACCAUGUUUCCAACACAACCUAAUUAGAGUAAAUACACAAAGCUUUUAAAAAUACUUAUUUUAUAACUUCUCACAUACUGUCACAUUUUUCACAUCUGAGAUUUAGUGGCUUUAAUGUAAACUCUUUUUCUCCUACAAGCCUCAUUAAAGAUGUGUCAUCUUACAUUUACAAAUUACUUUUUAAUUAUCAAGGAAGGUAUCAGUUUUUAACAUCUGGGCUGAGUAAUUGGGUUGUUGCCACCAACACUUACUUGAAGGAGAACUCCAAUUUUUGAUGUUUUGGUAAAUUGAUUAUUAGGUUGUUGGAUUUGGUAAUAAAAACUUUUACUGUGUACAUUUUAGAAGGAACAGCUAUGACAAUAUAGUAAUUAGAGAAUAAUUUGGUCAAUUUUGUCCCCUUCUGUGUACUACUAAUGUUGAGGGAAUAGUUGACAGGUACUUGUAUUCACAUGUAUCUGUCUGAAUUGUAGGUUGAGAAUUGUUCUUAAAAGGAAGCAAUAGGCUAAUUACCUCAUAAAUCAAUGCAAAUUUUCGCAGAUUUUAAGCAAUUUGUUGCUUAAUAAUUUGCAUUAAAAAGCUUAAUAUGAAACAAUUUCAUUAAUCUACUUUAUUCAGACAGUAAGUGCCACAAGGAAAACCUGACUAAUAAAGUUGCCUUAUAAGAUUUUCUCAAGUAAGAAAACCAAAACCCAAAAAACCUAAUAAAAUGAGAGUCUUAAACCACAACAGACGUGUCAGAUGGACUUGAAAAUUACUGAUUAUUGUCCCAUAAUAUCCAGUUUGUGAAAUAAAUUGUGGGAUCUGGCUCUAGUAAAUCUAGGGUUUAUUAUAAAGUUUUUAAAAGUGAAGUACUAAAUGUAAAAGGCAAUUUGAUCUUGUCACUGUGUAGGGAAUUAUGUAGGGGUAAUACUGAAAAGGUAAUUCAAACUGGUGUUUGUACUUUUAGAAAUCAUGGAAAUUACACAAAAAUGUCACAAACCACAGCCAUUGGAAUUUGGCCCAAUAUACCAAGCCAGAGAAAUGAGAAUUGCUUGAGAAAAUCGGAACCAGCUUAAAUGAAAGCAGCUUAUCAUUGGCAUGUAGUAUGUCUUUUAAAAUGUGUAAUUAUCGAACAAAAGGAAAAUAGAAUAUUUGGAGUAGAUUACCUCUUCAAAAUCAAAAAGCAUAUACUAUGUAUCCAAGAUAAGUUUUUAAAAAACUAAACCAUAAAAAAUGGCAAACUUCAAUGAGUGAAAAAUUUUUUAAAAUAACAUAUUCAAAAAAAUUUAAAUCAAAUUUAUAUUUUUUAAAGUUCACUUUUUAAUGAAGAACUAAAUCUUGAACUGUAAAGGGUAUAUUAAGGUUAAAUGUUUUGCAUAAGUUAUUGUUCUAGGAUUUGGAUAAUAGAAUAAUUUACAAAGCCAUUGUUUCAGUACAUUAUAUGUUUACCAUUACAAACAUAUAAACAAAAUACUCUGAAAGGUCUGAAUGGAAAGUAUUAUAUGAAAUUUUAUUUUUCUAUAAAUAUUGAGGUAUAUAUAUAAUUAUUUUUUGUUUUUAUUUCUUAGCUACGUCUGCUGGAAUGAGAUGUAUGAUGAUUUAGAGUUGGUUCUCUUAAGUGCAGUAUUUCUUUAGGAUAAUCAGUGAUAGUGCAUAUAUGAUUGGGCUACUGUUGUGAACAUAAUUGAUGGCAGAAUGCCUUGAUGCAGCUCUUACCAACAAUUUAUGGAGACUAAAAGGGUGGUAGAACUGGUGGGUUAGAAAUUGCUUUCUGAAGAACUGGAGGAUCGAAGAGAAAUCUGGGGUUUCCAGUGCCCUCUGAAAUAAUUUUUACAUAAAACCCAGGUUUAGUAGGUACAAUUGUUGUUGAAGUGCGCUGCUCAUGAAAAGAAUUUAUGUGGCAGAAAGAGAUUAUUUGGUCAUGGAUAUUGUAUGAACAAAUCAGGGCUUCUGUACCCAUGUUAAAGGAAAAAUGGAGAAUGUUCUGUAUAUUUAAUAUGCACAUGUGAUUGUAUUUAACUUUAUAGGUAAUAAAUGAUACAGGUAAACACACUUAUGAAGAUCAAACACGUUUCAUGUCCAAGAAAGUCUAAUCACGAAUCGUCCUUAGCUUCCUGUAUAUGGAUUGUCCCGUUCCAUGUGUUCAAGCAAGAUGUAUCUCUCUCACAUAGAUAUUUUUACUUAGAGACUCAAGAGGACUUAUGUAAGGCAAAAAAGAAAAACAUAAACAUUUAUUCUUCCUCUGCCUUGAUUCAUAAAAAAUCCGAGGCAGUUUAUAUAUAAAUAUAUUUGUGCGCUUUAAACAUUUAGUAAGACUCAAGACCUCAUAAAUAAGGAUCUUAUAAAAGAGUAGGAAGUUGAGAUAUAAGUUGAAAAAACAUCAACUAAACAGGCUAUAAAGCCUACUGAAUUCCUAUAGUUGAGCCUCACAUUUGGAUCUAAGCUUCCUCGUGGUCAAUUGAAAAAUUCAGUUAUAUUUUCCUUGCAUUUAGGAAGAACACCCUCCCAAUACACACACACAUAGACUCAACAUUUCUUAAGGAAAGAGGCAUUUCCUAAUACUCAGCUCUAAAAAAAAAUUUGUCACAGGGCUUCAUGGAGGGAACACUGAAUAUAAACAUCUUAAUAGUUCUAUAGCAGAUGGAAUUAUUUUUAAAUAUUGGCUUGUUAUAGUGGCCAUUCCUAAAAAGUCUGAGACCUCAACAUCGAAUCAUCUCAAUUAAGGACUUUAAGGUUUAGGAACAAAAUAUGGUUCAGGUUUGUAGCCUUCUGAUUCGGGAAUGCUUCAUACUUUAAAAAAAUGACUUCAUAGAUCAUGCCUAUAAUCCCAGCACUUUGGGAGGCCGAGGCGGGUGGAUCAUUAGGUCAGGAGAUCGAGACCAUCCUGGCUAACACGGUGAAACCCCGUCUCUACUAAAAAUACAAAAAAUUAGCCAGGUGUGGUGGUGGGUGCCUGUAGUCCCAGCUACUCGGGAGGCUGAGGCAGAAGAAUGGCGUGAACCCGAGAGGCGGAGCUUGCAGUGAGCCAAGAUUGCGCCGCUGCACUCCAGCCUGGGUGACUGAGUGAGACUC